rnacentral:rRNA from 1 species
AAGAUGGCGACCGGCGCACGGGUGAGUAACACAUAUCCAACCUGCCGAUAACUCCGGAAUAGCCUUUCGAAAGAAAGAUUAAUACCGGAUAGUAUACGAAUAUCGCAUGAUAUUUUUAUUAAAGAAUUUCGGUUAUCGAUGGGGAUGCGUUCCAUUAGUUUGUUGGCGGGGUAACGGCCCACCAAGACUACGAUGGAUAGGGGUUCUGAGAGGAAGGUCCCCCACAUUGGAACUGAGACACGGUCCAA